rnacentral:rRNA from 1 species
GACGAACGCUGACGGCGUGCUUAACACAUGCAAGUCGAACGGUAAGGCCCUUCGGGGUACACGAGUGGCGAACGGGUGAGUAACACGUGGGUGAUCUACCCUGCACUUCGGGAUAAGCCUGGGAAACUGGGUCUAAUACCGGAUAGGACCACUGCCUGCAUGGGUGGUGGUGGAAAGCUUUUGCGGCGUGGGAUGGGCCCGCGGCCUAUCAGCUUGUUGGUGGGGUGAUGGCCUACCAAGGCGACGACGGGUAGCCGGCCUGAGAGGGUGACCGGCCACACUGGGACUGAGAUACGGCCCAGACUCCUACGGGAGGCAGCAGUGGGGAAUAUUGCACAAUGGGCGCAAGCCUGAUGCAGCGACGCCGCGUGAGGGAUGACGGCCUUCGGGUUGUAAACCUCUUUCAGCACCGACGAAGCGCAAGUGACGGUAGGUGCAGAAGAAGGACCGGCCAACUACGUGCCAGCCGCCGCCGUAAUAC